GUGAGAAAGGUCAUCGUCCAUCAGAAGGUCCGCAGUAGCCUAACGCUGUAUCACAAUGCCCACAUCAUUCACCUCACUUCAUCUCAUCACAUAGGAACUUUAUCAUCUCAUAUCAUCACUAGAAGAAAGCUCCAUGAGGACAAGAACAUGUCUGGUUUUGCUCAGCACUGUACAUCCAGUGAUAACAAAAUGAAUGACAUGAAGUAUGCACGCAGUAUUUAUUGAACAAAUCUAUGAAUGAACUCACAGUUUCAAUGCCUGUACCACAGCCACUGCAAGUGGUUGAUGCCCUGCUGGACUGAUACUCAAUUGAGACGCACAGCCUCCCUGGUGCUUCUUUGAGUACAGGCACGGGUGCUGAGAGUCGGUGUGGUGCAUUCCAGCUGAGGUGCACCUGGCAGGAGCUCCCGCGGACAGUCAGCUCACCCUUCUUUCCUGCUACUGGUCACCAUUUACCUUCAGUUACUGCUGUGAAGUGAUUAGGGUGCAGAACACAUAUUUUAUUACUGCUGAUGUUGUUGGCUACCAUUAAUUGAGAGCUUAUGUGUUAAACACCAUCAGGCUUUCAUUCAUUUUCAGAUUUAAUACUUAAAAUAUCCCUAUAAGAUAGGACUGCCACCAUUUUCCAGAUGAAGACCCUGAGGCUCAGAAAAGUUAAGUAACUUCUCCAGGGUCCCACAGUUGGUUACAGGAGCCCUGGGUCUAGAACCAAAGUUGAAAGCCUGCCUCUAAAGCCUAUGCUUUAAACCACUACCCUCUACUGCAGGAGGCGUCCUGGGCAGGGCUUUGCUGUCAAGUCCACAGCGCAGUAAACUGAGGCAAGGGACACGGGGCAGUUCUGUCUCUUGCCCAUUACCUGCCCUGAGCCCAGCUGAGUACGAAAGCCUGGGUGAAAGAAAGCCUGGUUCAGGAUGUUAUGUCCCUGAUUUUCAGGGACAACGGUCCCAGUGGUUUUAUGAGGGAGCUGCAUGAAUAGCUAAUAAACAGGGAAGGCUCUGCAACCCUCCGUCUGAUCAAUAGGAAGCCAAGCUCAAGAAAAGAUAAUACUGUUGUACCAAGUAACACAGGCAGACUGCAGCACCACCAGGCCUGAGACCCCCAUCCCCCUGCUGGCCCCACUUGUUCCGUUCACUCUAUGACAUUAAAAGCACACAAGGCUCUCUUUACCACAUUCCUUGGGUUUCAAGGCCGCUGUUCCCGUCUUCCCUUCCCAAUCCUAAUACUUUUUUCUUUCUUUUUAACAUUUGAGGAAGAAAGUGUUGCAGUUAACAACAUUUGAAUUCCACAAUGUCACCAUAACAUGUCAUAAAUACUUUUAUUACUUAUUAUGAAAUGCUUAGGGACCAUGGAAGACUAAAGUUUAUUCGAUUCUUUCUAAUGUAGCUCAAACAAGUGUAUUGCGGUCAUAGACUGGGUGUGGGUAGGGAGGGGGCUGGACUUGUUGAUUUAAUCUUCUCGAUGCCAUAGGCAGUAUCUCUGUGAUUGUGCUGGAAUUGCAUUUCACUGGAAGAUAGAUUUGUUUUAGCUGAGUCUUUGUGGUCCUGAGAAUGGCGAGUUCUCAGAAAUACCUACCCAGGCAUCCAGCACUGUCUGAGUGAGUUAAGGGUGCCUGUGGACCAAGAGUCUGGUCACCCCAGAGCCCACAGUAAUCAGAAAAUCCCGUCCCAGGAAGCACUGUGCGUGCAAAGCCAGUUGGGCAAACCAACUUUGGGAGUACUUUCAGUACUUUCUAACCAUGGAUAAAAAGACUAGAGACCGUAAGCCCUGCACACAUCACUCCCACUGCCCUGCAUACCUGCAAGCCAGGAAUUUUGCUCAUACUAAAAAGGCAUCUUCCAAGAGGACCUAUGAACUUAAAAACAAGUGCUGUUUAAUUUGCCGUUCAUUACGGGUGUAUCUGGAUUGAUUUAUUGCGCCCUUUUGACCCCAAGUCUUUGGAAUAGCAUUCCUUCACGAUUAAACAGAGAAAGGAUUCAGGCACAACACUCAGGGAUAAGCACAGAAGGCGACACCCGUACCUCAGAUUGCUCCGUAUCAGGUAACGCAAAGGGAACGCUGAACCCAAUUCCACGUGGAAUGCACGUGAGCCAGACAAGAGUUGGCAAGUUCUUUGACCCACGUUUCUCUAACCUUUCCUAAAGGAUGUGGCCAGCACAGACCACUAUUAUCCAGAUUAUGGGCUUUUGAGUACUUCCACAUU